rnacentral:rRNA from 1 species
GACGAACGCUGGCGGCGUGCCUAAUACAUGCAAGUCGAACGAAAAGACGCGGCUCUUGCUGCUCUGACGUUAGCGGAGGACGGGUGAGAAACACGUGGAUCCCCUACCUAUAAUUCUGGGAACACUUCGAAACUCCGGAGCUAACCGCGGAUAAUCUAUUGCUCCGCAUGGUUCAAUAGUGAGAGACGGUUUUGCUGUCACUUCUAGAUGCAUCCGCGCCGCAUUAGCUAGUUGGUAAGGUAACGGCUUACCACGGCAACGAUGCCUAGCCGACCUGCGAGGGUGAUCGGCCACAGUGGGGGUGAGACGCGAUCCAGACGCCGACGGGAGGCAGCAGUAGGGAAUCGUCCGCAAGGGGCGGAAGCCUGACGGAGCAACGGCGCGUGAGUGAUGAAGGGCUGCGGAUCGUAAAACGCUGUUAUUAUGGAAGAACAAAUGUGUAAGUAACGAUGCGCGUCUGGACGGAACCUAAACAGAAAGCCACGGCUAACUACUG